rnacentral:tRNA from 2 species
GACUUCUUGGCCAAGCGGCACGGCGUUGGACUUCGAAUCCAAAGAUCGCGGGUUCGACCCCCGCAGAAGUCU